CAAAUUCUUGCAUAUUCCUGUUCUUGAUGGAGAUGGGCGGGUUGCUGCUUGUUUGGACGUUCUGCAACUUACCCAUGCUGCAAUUUCAAUGGUUGAAGGAGGUCCUGGUGCUGCAACUGAUGUGGCAAACACGAUAAUGCAGAAAUUCUGG